UAGUUUGACUGGGGCGGUCUCCUCCUAAAGAGUAACGGAGGAGUACGAAGGUGCGCUCAGCGUGGUCGGAAAUCACGCGUAGAGUAUAAAGGCAAAAGCGCGCUUAACUGCGAGACCCACAAGUCGAGCAGGUACGAAAGUAGGUCUUAGUGAUCCGGUGGUUCUGUAUGGAAGGGCCAUCGCUCAACGGAUAAAAGGUACUCUGGGGAUAACAGGCUGAUACCGCCCAAGAGUUCAUAUCGACGGCGGUGUUUGGCACCUCGAUGUCGGCUCAUCUCAUCCUGGGGCUGAAGCAGGUCCCAAGGGUAUGGCUGUUCGCCAUUUAAAGAGGUACGCGAGCUGGGUUUAGAACGUCGUGAGACAGUUCGGUCCCUAUCUACCGUGGGCGCUGGAAAUUUGAGAGGAUCUGCUCCUAGUACGAGAGGACCAGAGUGGACGAACCUCUGGUGUACCGGUUGUGACGCCAGUCGCAUCGCCGGGUAGCUAUGUUCGGAAGGGAUAACCGCUGAAAGCAUCUAAGCGGGAAGCCUACCUCAAGAUAAGAUUUCCCUAGGACUUUAUGUCCUCUAAAGAGCCGUUCGAGACUAGGACGUUGAUAGGUUGGAUGUGGAAGCAUAGUGAUAUGUGAAGCUGACCAAUACUAAUUGCUCGUGAGGCUUGACUAU
rnacentral:rRNA from 1 species